GGCCCUGAAGGUGCAAAAGGUGAUAUCUGAUCACCAGGACAAAAUGGCGCCACGGGACGUCAGGGAGCUACAGGAGAAAGUGGAACACCAUGUAAUUGCUCACGAUAUGAUGAGUUGGCACACAAAGUUCAAAUCCUCGAAAAAGUUUUAGCUCGAGAAUUGCAACUGCUAGCAGAUGGUUGGUAUCGUGUUCACAGUUACCCAUAUUGGUACAAAUUGGCCAAUGUAUCGUCGGACUAUCAAACAGCCAGAAAAAACUGCGAACUCAUGGGUGGCCGAUUAGCAGCAAAGGGUAUUCGCAACCCAACUAUUCGCAGCGAUCUUCUCGACAAGUUCAUCAGAAGAACAGGAACUUCAAUCUGGAUAGGACUUGACGACC